UCAGACGAUGCGUCACUGCAUAUCAAUAAGCGGAGGAAAAGAAACUAACAAGGAUUCCCUCAGUAACGGCGAGUGAAGCGGGAAGAGCUCAAAUUUGAAAUCUUGAAAGGUCACCUUUCACGAAUUGUAGUUUAAAGAAGUGUUUUCUGUUACGAUCGUAAUAUAAGUUCUUUGGAAUAGGACAUCACAGAGGGUGAGAAUCCCGUCUAUGAUUGCGAUUUGUAGCUUUGUGAUACACUUUCAAAGAGUCGGGUUGUUUGGGAAUGCAGCCCAAAACGGGAGGUAAAUUUCUUCUAAGGCUAAAUAUUGGCGAGAGACCGAUAGCGAACAAGUACCGUGAGGGAAAGAUGAAAAGAACUUUGAAAAGAGAGUUAAAUAGUACGUGAAAUUGUCAAAAGGGAAGCGUUUAACACCAGUGUUGUUUUCUGGAAAUCAACCUCUGUUAGCUUUAUGCAUGUUUGUUUAGACCUAAUCAGCUAUCUUGCAUGUUCUAUUGUUUGCAGUGGUGCACUUUUCAGUUUACAGGUCAACAUCAGUUUUUUUUACCGUAAAAAAGUUAAAGAAAGGUAGCUCAUGGCUCCGGUCGUGAGUGUUAUAGUCUUUUUCCUAUGCGGUAGGAGAGACUGAGGUCUGCAGUGUAGGCUAUUUGGCUAGAUACUCAGGUGCUAUGUGAUACCAUUUCAUAAACAACUUGUUGAUUAUGUUUUGUCUAUUGCAUACUCGCUUGUACUAUCAUACCUACGCUUAGGAUGUUGAUCUGUAGUGCGUGCGC
rnacentral:rRNA from 1 species